AAGAUACAGACAAUGAAUAAAGAGAGGGCAUUUUUACUUGUUCUCGGAUAGCUGUUUCAUAGGUAGCUGGAUUCUCACGAAACUUGGCCUCAGCAACGAAUUUACCGAAGUGGAUUCUCUUUGAAAGAAUCUGCAAACACAUUGUGUCACAGACAGCAGCUGAACCACAGUUACCAUCGUCCCCUGGAUUGACCAGCCUGGGAAGAAGACCAGGACCAUGUACGCUGCAACCACUGACAACACAAAAACGAACAAGAGCAGAGGGAAGCAAUAAAAAAGACACUCACUCUCGUGUAGGAAAAAAAAAAGAGUUUAUGACGACACUUCAACUCAUUGGUG